GAUGAACGCUGGCGGCGUGCUUAACACAUGCAAGUCGAACGGAAAGGCCCAAGCUUGCUUGGGUACUCGAGUGGCGAACGGGUGAGUAACACGUGGGUGAUCUGCCCUGCACUUCGGGAUAAGCCUGGGAAACUGGGUCUAAUACCGGAUAGGACGAUGGUUUGGAUGCCAUUGUGGAAAGUUUUUUCGGUGUGGGAUGAGCUCGCGGACUAUCAGCUUGUUGGUGGGGUAAUGGCCUACCAAGGCGUCGACGGGUAGCCGGCCUGAGAGGGUGUACGGCCACAUUGGGACUGAGAUACGGCCCAGACUCCUACGGGAGGCAGCAGUGGGGAAUAUUGCACAAUGGGCGAAAGCCUGAUGCAGCGACGCCGGGUGGGGGAUGACGGCCUUCGGGUUGUAAACUCAUUUCGCUAGGGACGAAGCGUUUUUGUGACGGUACCUGGAGAAGAAGCACCGGCUAACUACGUG
rnacentral:rRNA from 1 species